rnacentral:rRNA from 1 species
GUGGGGAAUAUUGGACAAUGGGCGAAAGCCUGAUCCAGCCAUGCCGCGUGUGUGAAGAAGGUCUUCGGAUUGUAAAGCACUUUAAGUUGGGAGGAAGGGCAGUAAGUUAAUACCUUGCUGUUUUGACGUUACCGACAGAAUAAGCACCGGCUAACUUCGUGCCAGCAGCCGCGGUAAUACGAAGGGUGCAAGCGUUAAUCGGAAUUACUGGGCGUACAGCGCGCGUAGGUGGUUUUGUAAGUUGUAGGUGAAAUCCCCGGGCUCAACCUGGGAACUGCCUCCAAAACUGCAUGACUAGAGUACGGUAGAGGGUAGUGGAAUUUCCUGUGUAGCGGUGAAAUGCGUAGAUAUAGGAAGGAACACCAGUGGCGAAGGCGACUACCUGGACUGAUACUGACACUGAGGUGCGAAAGCGUGGGGAGCAAACAGGAUUAGAUACCCCAGUAGUCC